AGAGUUUGAUCCUGGCUCAGAUUGAACGCUGGCGGAAUGCUUUACACAUGCAAGUCGAACGGCAGCACGGGAGCUUGCUCCUGGUGGCGAGUGGCGAACGGGUGAGUAACGCGUCGGAACGUACCGAGUAAUGGGGGAUAACGCAGCGAAAGUUGUGCUAAUACCGUAUACGCCCUGAGGGGGAAAGUGGGGGAUCGCAAGACCUCACGUUAUUCGAGCGGCCGACGUCUGAUUAGCUUGUUGGUGGGGUAAUGGCCUACCAAGGCGACGAUCAGUAGCGGGUCUGAGAGGAUGAUCCGCCACACUGGAACUGAGACACGGUCCAGACUCCUACGGGAGGCAGCAGUGGGGAAUUUUGGACAAUGGGGGCAACCCUGAUCCAGCCAUUCCGCGUGAGUGAAGAAGGCCUUCGGGUUGUAAAGCUCUUUCAGCCGGAACGAAACGGUAUGUCUUAAUACGAUGUGCUAAUGACGGUACCGGCAGAAGAAGCACCGGCUAACUACGUGCCAGCAGCCGCGGUAAUAC
rnacentral:rRNA from 1 species